GAUGAACGCUGGCGGCGUGCCUAAUACAUGCAAGUCGAGCGAAUGGAUUAAGAGCUUGCUCUUAUGAAGUUAGCGGCGGACGGGUGAGUAACACGUGGGUAACCUGCCCAUAAGACUGGGAUAACUCCGGGAAACCGGGGCUAAUACCGGAUAACAUUUUGAACCGCCUGGUUCAAAAUUGAAAGGCGGCUUCGGCUGUCACUUAUGGAUGGACCCGCGUCGCAUUAGCUAGUUGGUGAGGUAACGGCUCACCAAGGCAACGAUGCGUAGCCGACCUGAGAGGGUGAUCGGCCACACUGGGACUGAGACACGGCCCAGACUCCUACGGGAGGCAGCAGUAGGGAAUCUUCCGCAAUGAACGAAAGUCUGACGGAGCAACGCCGCGUGAGUGAUGAAGGCUUUCGGGUCGUAAAACUCUGUUGUUAGGGAAGAACAAGUGCUAGUUGAAUAAGCUGGCACCUUGACGGUACCUAACCAGAAAGCCACGGCUAACUACGUGCCAGCAGCCGCAGUAA
rnacentral:rRNA from 1 species